AACGGCCGCGGUAUCUUGACCGUGCAAAGGUAGCAUAAUCAUUAGUCCUUUAAUAUGGGGCUGGCAUGAAGGGUUUAACGAGGAACUAGCUGUCUCAAUUUGAUUUAUUAAAAGUUAGCUUUUUAGUUAAAAGGCUAAAAUUUUGUUGGAAGACGAGAAGACCCUAUAGAGCUUUACAUUUACAUUUUGUAGGAUUAAUUUUGUUUUAUUUAUGUACUUCUUUAUUUAGGUGUUUUGUUGGGGUGACAUUAAAUAUAUAUUUAACUUUUAUUGUUUGGGAGCCAUUUAUUUAUGAAUAUUUGAUCCAUUCUUAAUGAUCUUUAGAAUAAGUUACCUUA
rnacentral:rRNA from 1 species